GACGAACGCUGGCGGCGUGCCUAAUACAUGCAAGUCGAACGCGUCUACGUUAAUGAAAUCAAUGUGCUUGCACGGCGAUGGAUUUAACAUUAGACGAGUGGCGAACUGGUGAGUAACACGUGGGUAACCUGCCCUCAAGCAGGGGAUAACAUUUGGAAACAGAUGCUAAUACCGCAUAAACCUCAAAAGCACAUGCUUUUGAGUUGAAAGAUGGCGUAAGCUAUCGCUUUUGGAUGGACCCGCGGCGUAUUAGCUAGUUGGUGAGGUAAAGGCUCACCAAGGCUGUGAUACGUAGCCGACCUGAGAGGGUAAUCGGCCACAUUGGGACUGAGACACGGCCCAAACUCCUACGGGAGGCAGCAGUAGGGAAUCUUCCACAAUGGACGAAAGUCUGAUGGAGCAACGCCGCGUGAGUGAAGAAGGGUUUCGGCUCGUAAAACUCUGUUGUUAAAGAAGAACAGGUGUAAGAGUAACUGUUUACACCGUGACGGUAUUUAACCAGAAAGCCACGGCUAACUACGUGCCAGCCGCCGCCGUAAAAC
rnacentral:rRNA from 1 species